rnacentral:misc_RNA from 1 species
UUGGUUUGUUACCGGUGGUUGGCUCUUUGCAUGUGCAACAACUUCCACCUGGCAUUCCUUUUUGGUUUUGCGUCAAGGUUGCAUUUCCUUGAGCGCUAAUGGUUUCCUGUGUUUCCUACCUACGUGACGGUAUCGGUUGAUUACAUCAAAGACGUGUUUCAUCAUUUGCCAUCUGUAUGGCUUAAGAUGAACCUAAAAGCAACUUCUAUGAUCCUCCUUGAUGAUGCACAUGCAUCGAUGUUGUGGCUCAUUGAGUUUUGCUUGGUUUUCUAGAUACAGAACAUGAUAUGGGUGUGGGUCUCAUGCGAUCCUUUUUUUGCCCUUGUUGAUCGUUGUUAUUACUCAGAGAUGACUGCCUAUCUUGAAUUGGCUCGUACCACCGGGGUAGGUUAUGUUGUUGAGGAGAAAUACCAGCGUUCACGUUUCUCUAAAAUAGACGGCCUCGCCUGGAUUGGCUCGUACCAACAGGUGGGCUAUGUCGAAGAGGGAUGCUACCUGGUUGAUCCUGCCAGUAGUCAUAUGCUUGUCUCAA